UACGAAGGGGGCUAGCGUUGUCCGGAAUCAUUGGGCGUAAAGCGCGUGUAGGCGGCUUGGUAAGUCUGCUCUGAAAGCCCGGGGCUCAACCCCGGGAGGCGGGUGGAUACUGCUGAGCUCGAGUCCGGAAGAGGCGAGUGGAAUUCCUGGUGUAGCGGUGAAAUGCGCAGAUAUCAGGAGGAACACCAAUGCGAAGGCAGCUCGCUGGGACGUAACUGACGCUGAGACGCGAAAGCGGUGGGGAGCAAACAGG
rnacentral:rRNA from 1 species